CCUACGGGGGGCUGCAGUCAAGAAUAUUCCACAAUGGCCGAAAGGCUGAUGGAGCGACGCCGCGUGUAUGAAGAAGCCCUCCGGGGUGUAAAGUACUUUUAACUGGGACGAAACUAUGACGGUACCAGUUGAAUAAGGGGCUGCUAACCUCGUGCCAGCAGCAGCGGUAAUACGAGGGCCCCAAGCAUUAUCCGGAUUCAUUGGGCGUAAAGCGUCCGCAGACGGUUUGUCGCAUCUCCUGUUAAAUCACAAGGCUCAACCUUGUGGCCGCGGGAGAGAUGGAUAAGCUAGAGACUGGAAGAGGCAAGCGGAAUUGCUGGUGUAGGGGUUAAAUCCGUUAAUAUCAGCAAGAACACUUAAUGCGAAGGCAGCUUGCUAGGACAGUUCUGACGUUCAGGGACGAAAGCGUGGGGAGCGAAUGGGAUUAGAUACCCUGUAGU
rnacentral:rRNA from 1 species